rnacentral:lncRNA from 12 species
AGAACAUUUAGAAAGUUAUGAGAGCCGAUGCCAAUUAUCCCUCAAUAAAUCAUUUUUUAAAAAGGAAGAACUCAGCUAGUGUUCAGAAAUGUUUGUGUAGUACUAAACGGUCUUCUCAAUACAAUCGGAGGAAGAGAAAAGGACUUGAACCGAGAAUGACUUUCCAUGUGAGGCAAUGCUACUCAAAGGGGCGUCCAUGUGCUGCACAAAUUCAUCUCCCAGAAGCGCUGCAGGAGCAUCCUACACUUGGGGAAACUCUAGGCCAGACUGCACUCAGGACUGGAGGCAAGAGCCUUGAGGGCUCUUUCGGACACUGCAAGGAGCAUCUGGCUGGAAGCUGCAUCCUUCCCAUUUUGAGAAAAAUCUUACUCCAAGGAGCAAGGACACUAGAGAUGGACUAUUUCCUGCAUGGACAAACUUAUACAAAGAGGAAAUGAGAAAAAUUUGAAAGUACUUAUUAAAAAAAAAAAAAAAAAAAAAGCUCUAAGCCUUUGACUUUCCAAAAAGUCUUUUUGUUCUCUAACUAAAGCCCAGUGUUCUAAACAUCAUGAUGCCUGCUCUACUAUAUUUUGUGAAGUCCCUUUUUGAUCAAAAUAAUGCUAGAAGGUUGCUCCCAUGAUCUGUUUAGCAUCAAGAUAAGGUCAGGCAUUAAUUAAUGUUGAAUUACCAAGAAUUCCUAUGGAAAUGCAUAUGACAUCUAUAUUAUAACCAUAAUUAGCUAAUUAACCAAUCAAUUAUAAUGAUUAAUGUGAUCGUAAUGAAUGUAUGGCAAAUGGUUAUUAAUUCCUAGAGUUUCCAAAGUGAAUGCAUUAAUCACAGUUGAAUCCACGGUACAGGAUAAUGUGGGUGCCUAAUUGUCUUUUUGAACUCUGGGUGUGAUGUAAUAACUUACAUCUGCUAGAACUUUUGCAGUUCAUCAAACACUUGGCCACAUGUUAUCUUACAACAAACUUGUUAAGCACUAGAAGGAAAGUGUUAUGAUUAUUGCUGAUGUUGUUUCCAUUUCAUGGGUGGGAAAACUAAGUUUCAGAGAAAUUGGAUGAUUUUCCUCAUAUCACACCUUUUUGUGUUUCCUCUUUCAAAUAGGCCUUCCAAUAAUCUUAGUUGGUAUCUGGAGUUCUGGGACAUGAACAUUUAUGCUAGGAUUUCCCCAUAAUUUCCCAGACCUUUUAUUAUAUAACACUGUCUGGUGUUUACUUAAAAAAUUAAUGAGAUUGUCAUCAUCAAAUAGAUAUAAAUGGGGAGACAAUUUUACCACUGGAUGAAAGAAACCCUGAGUCGUCUAGGAGAAGAGAAAGGACUUUGGGGGCUGGGAACCCAGUGCUUCUCUUGUGUGGCUGUAUGCAGAGGGCAGGAGGGUCAAGAAUCACUGCGUCAUUUCCCCUAAUUUUCUUUCAUUACAAAUCUUUGUAACACCUAGCACCAUUCGAAGUGCAA